GCUCUUCUUCUCUCCUCUAGCGGAACUACCGGGUUGCCGAAAUUCGUGAAACUGACGCAUGUCAACAUAAUUGCAAAUAUGAUGCAGAUACAGUACAAUAAACAGCACCAGCCCGGAGAAGUGUCGGUAUUGGCCCUGCCGGUUUAUCACCAUUAUGGACUUCACUCAGUACUGGGAACCAGCCUUUAUAAUGGCCUUAAAGUUGUUCUCAUGGAUAGGUGGAGUACGGAAAAGUUCUUGCGAAUAUCGAAAAGUACAAGGCGAAUUUAAUCCAAGUGGUUCCAGCUAUGGCCGCUUCGUUAAUCAAAUUCCCGGAACGUCACACUUAUGACGUCAGCAGCGUUUGUUUUGUGAUGUCAGCAGCGGCGCCAAUGGGGGUUGGUGUAGAGGAGCAUUUACGGCAGCUUUUUAAUGUUCCAUUCAUAUCGCAGUCUUAUGGACUAACAGAAACGGGGUACAACUCUGGAAACACAACUGAUCGCCAUCGUCUUGGUUCCAACGGUGUUCCUCCGAUAGGCACAAAUCUCAAGGUUGUUCUUGUCUACACACACACACACACUCAAUAAGUCCUCCUUAUUUCCCAUCUGCUGUCACCAACAUAUUUACUUUUCGUACACGUUAUUCAGCACAUACUUUUUAAAUCAUGUUUGCGUUGCAGACAGCUUUGAAACUAGGAUGUGACACAUAUUAAAAUGAAUAAAUCAUGCAUAUGUCUACAUGUAUACAAUUUAGUAAGGCAUAACAUUUGGAACAAUUCGAU